GACGAACGCUGGCGGCGUGCUUAACACAUGCAAGUCGAACGGUGAAGCGCUUGCCUUUUUGGUGGGUGUGGAUGAGUGGCGAACGGGGGAGUAACACGUGAGCAACCUGACCUCUUCUGCUGGAUAACCUCAUGAAAGUGCUACUAAUACGUGGUAUUCCGAGUCUGUCGCAUGACGGGUGUGGGAAAGAUUUGGCGUCUGGGUUAGUUCGAUGGGGGAUGGGCUCGCGGCUUGGCAGCUUGUUGGGGUGGUGAUGGCCUACCAAGGCGGCGACGGGUGGCCGGAGUGAGAGGUCGGCCGGCCAGACUGGGACUGAGGCACCGCACAGACUCGUGCGGGAGGCAGAGGGGGGGAAUCGUGAAGAAUGGGAGCAAGACGGAUGCAGCGCGGGCGAGUGAGGGAUGGAGGCCGUCGGGUUGUGACCCUCUUUAGCGAGUGAAGAAUGCCUGAUCAUGUGUGGGUGGGUUGACGGUAGCUAGACAGGAAGCGCCGGCUAACUACGUG
rnacentral:rRNA from 1 species